rnacentral:rRNA from 1 species
AACGAACGCUGGCGGCAUGCCUAACACAUGCAAGUCGAACGAUGACUUCGGUUCGAGCGGCGGCCGGGGGCGUAACGCGGGGUAAUGUACCCUUCUCUACGGGAUCGCCCGGGAAAACUGGGAGUAAUAUCGUCUAAUCCCGCAUAGGAACAGAGGUUGCGGGGAAGGAUCAGCCAGCGUUGGAUUAGGUAGUUGGUGGGGUAAUGGCCUACCAAGCUGAUGAUCCAUAGCUGGUUUGAGAGGAUGAUCAGACACACUGGGACUGAGACACGGUCCAGACUUCUAGGGGAGGCAGCAGUGGGGGAUCUUGGCCAAUGGGGGCCAGCAUGAUCUAGCCAGGCCGCGUGACUGAUGAAGGCCUUAGGGUUGUAACGCUCUUUCAGAUAGGAAGAUCAUGACGGUACCAGAAGAAGAAGCACCGGCUAACUCCGUG